rnacentral:sRNA from 1 species
GAGAAGCUUCGACUAAGGUUCGACUCGAGCGAAGCGAGAGAACGUUGCCGCAGGCAACGGCCCGAAGGGCGAG